GGUAUGCAACACACCUGACAUCUGCAUUUUUCAGUUACAGCAAGUUUUUGAAGAUUUAGACCUGAAUCAAAAUACACAUAUAUAUUCCGAAGAAAAGAACACACUAUCAGCUCAAUUAUAAUCAUAACUAACAGGUAAAAAUAGUGUCAAAUCUUUAAAAAAAACAUGUAACUUUUCUAGAUUGGGAUUUCCGGUAUGAGUAACACAUGUAAACAAACCACAAUCAUAUCCAAAUCUAAAAAA
rnacentral:lncRNA from 1 species